UCCUGGUGGCGAGCGGCGGACGGGUGAGUAAUGCAUAGAAAUCUGCCCGGUAGUGGGGGAUAACCUGGGGAAACCCAGGCUAAUACCGCAUACGUCCUACGGGAGAAAGCAGGGGAUCUUCGGACCUUGCGCUAUCGGAUGAGUCUAUGUCGGAUUAGCUUGUUGGUGAGGUAAUGGCUCACCAAGGCGACGAUCCGUAGCUGGUCUGAGAGGAUGAUCAGCCACAUCGGGACUGAGACACGGCCCGAACUCCUACGGGAGGCAGCAGUGGGGAAUAUUGGACAAUGGGCGAAAGCCUGAUCCAGCCAUGCCGCGUGUGUGAAGAAGGCCUUCGGGUUGUAAAGCACUUUCAGUGGGGAAGAAAGCCUUGGGGCUAAUACCCUCGAGGAAGGACAUCACCCACAGAAGAAGCACCGGCUAACUCCGUGCCAGCAGCCGCGGUAAUACGGAGGGUGCGAGCGUUAAUCGGAAUUACUGGGCGUAAAGCGCGCGUAGGCGGUCUGAUAAGCCGGUUGUGAAAGCCCCGGGCUCAACCUGGGAACGGCAUCCGGAACUGUCAGGCUAGAGUGCAGGAGAGGAAGGUAGAAUUCCCGGUGUAGCGGUGAAAUGCGUAGAGAUCGGGAGGAAUACCAGUGGCGAAGGCGGCCUUCUGGACUGACACUGACGCUGAGGUGCGAAAGCGUGGGUAGCAAACAGGAUUAGAUACCCUGGUAGUCCACGCCGUAAACGAUGUCGACUAGCCGUUGGGCUCCUUGAGAGCUUUGUGGCGCAGUUAACGCGAUAAGUCGACCGCCUGGGGA
rnacentral:rRNA from 1 species